UACGAAGGGGGCUAGCGUUGUUCGGAAUUACUGGGCGUAAAGGGCGCGUAGGCGGUGAUCUUUGUCAGAGGUGAAAGCCCGGGGCUCAACUCCGGAAUUGCCUUUGAAACGGGAUUGCUUGAGUCCGAGAGAGGAUGGCGGAAUUCCUAGUGUAGAGGUGAAAUUCGUAGAUAUUAGGAAGAACACCGGUGGCGAAGGCGGCCAUCUGGCUCGGUACUGACGCUGAUGCGCGAAAGCGUGGGGAGCAACAGGAUUA
rnacentral:rRNA from 1 species